AAUUCAUAAAUGCCAAGUUGGCGUCCUGGUCAUUAGAAAUCAAUAUAAUUCUAUAAUCAUUUAUUGAUUGCAACUCUCUUCCAGAGGUGAGACUGAAGGUGAAUACUGGAAGUGAAUAAAACUACCCUUCUCUCCAUCUCCCAAGGCUUAGAAAAAGUGUGUGUUAAAAAGUGUAUGAAAAAUUAUUUCAUGUCAGGCUCACACUGUGUUCUUAAUACUGUGUUAUAAGAAAUGACACCAUUCUCUCUCUGUAUUUCAUAGGCGUGAUUUGUUUUUUCAGUCUCCAUGAAUGACAUUUUUUAUGAAGACCAAAGUGAUGUGUGGACCUUAUUGAGAACUGAUACUUUAUUUCUUAUUGUAUAAAUAACUCCUCCAAUAAAGAUACCUAAAGUUAAAAGUACCUUAUCCAUUCCUUCGGAGACAGCCUAUGAAUUUUAUGGGAUCAAGUCCAAGUCCCCUUUGUGUGGCAUUUUCCAUAGAACUUUUGCUACUAUAUUGUCCCUUUGCUCAGGGCCUUAAAUUAAGUGAAAAGAGGACAGCCUUGCAGACCUUUUUAAGGUAUAAAGGGAGCAUGGGGACAGCCAGGGAAUCAAGAAUUUAAAAUUAGGAAAAUAAAUCAUAAAAGUGGAUUUCACAUCUUUUAAAAAAAAUGCUUUCAGCUUUUGUACAUUUCUUACCCUUCUCCUACCUUAUGGAGGCCUGUUUGUACAGCUGCUUUACAUACCGCUGAUUACUGUCUGUAUCACAGUAUUUGUUUUUAUCCCAUCCUUCAGGAGAUGACCUGGCUUCCACCACUUUCUGCUAUUCAAGCACCUGGCAAAGGGGAACCAACCAAAUUUCCAUUUCCAAAUAAGGACUCUCAGCUUGUAUCCUCUGGACACAAUAAUCCAAAGAAAGGUGAUGCAGAGCCAGAGAGUCCAGACAAUGGCACAUCGAAUACAUCGUAAGUCUCUUUCGUUUUUCUAUCAGAGAUGCCUGUUCUUAAAUAUGCCUUAUAAAAUGAGAUGGUGUGAGUAUCUUGUAAUAGUAUUAAUGAUGAUGGAAGGAAGCCCAUGGUUCUCUUUUCUCAUGAUAAUGUCUCUUUAAAUGCUUUGGGUGCAGAUGCAUUUUGAGGUCUUUUUUAUGCUUUAGCAGAGUAAGAGGAAUAUUGAAAAAUGCAAAUGCUUCUCUUUAUGAAGUAGAAAUGUAAUGAGAUUUGAGCAUGUAUGCUGCGGGGAUUUGGUUGGAGACUUUCAACACCAUCUUAAGAACUGCAGAACUUUUCACACUUAAACUGGGAGGUAUGCUGUUCCACGCAGCUGUGCAGUAACAAGGUCGUUUCAGAAGCUUGCCCUCUGCAACCUCACCUUGGAAUUAUGUGAAAAGUACAAUUAUAGAUAUCUCUGGAAUCUCAAGAGUUUGUUGGUAUUUUUGAAUUAACAAAAGCAGUUUUAAAAAGAUAAGCAAACGCCCUUAUAAAACAUGUGCUCCUCACUCUAUGUUUUGUCUGUUUCUUCUCAAUAUUCAAGAAAUCUAAGUAUAUUUUUACUGAUUAAUUUGAUGCCAAAUUGAUAUACCAACAUUUAAAUUAAAAAAUUCAUGAGCUAGCAAGUGACUUUAUUUUAGCUCUGUAAGAGUUGGUAACAGAUUUGUUCCUUAAAAAUCUUUAUUUGUAUCACUUACGAGCAGUGACAUGUGUUUUCGUAUUAUGACAGGCUUUGUGAAUUUAUCUGUAUGGGGAUCAGUAUUCUUAUUACUAAGCAUUUUCUAAGUACCGUUGAUUAGAAAUCACUUUGUGGUAAAAUAUCGCGUGUCUUAUUUUGUCUCAAAUCUGUCUCUUAGUCUAGAAAGAUUUUUUGGCUUGAAUAGAAGAGCUGUAUAUUUCAUAAGAGAUAUGAUUAUAUGUUUGUCUUUCUUAAGAUACUUCCCUAAAUGUUCUAAAUAGUUCUAUUGUCCUGCUUUCGGGUGAUAUAAUGAAUGUGGCUGGUCUUAAAUGGUUAAAAUACUACUAAUUUUUAAUAUUUUGUAUGUCGUAAAAUAUAAUGGGAAAGGCUUUUAAUGCCAUCUGGAGGCAUUCUAGAGAACUGAAAAGGGUAGAAUCAUUGACAAUUCCGUUAUUUUGAAUAAAACUUGAAACUGCAUAAAAAUUCAUGCAACCAGGUUAUAAGCUAUUUGGAGGAAGUUGUAUUUUCUGAUAAAUUAUUUUAUAAAAGUUUUAAUUAUUAUAGAAACAAUUUUUUUCAAAUUCUAAAUAAUGAAAUUAUUUUAAAGAUAGACAAUGGAACAUAUGAAGUAUGUUGGAAAGUGACUAGCAUCCUACAUUUAAUUUUACAUAUUUUAAAAUCACAUUCAGUAAGUAUCCAUUUUGUUAAGGCAGUUUGAUAUGCUUUUAAAGUUCUCUUUCCCUUAUGUAUUUCUAAAACGUCUGUUCCUGGCUCGGCUCAGUGGCUUAUGCCUGUAAUCCCAACACUUUGUGAGGCCAAGGCGGGUGGAUCAUUUGAGUUCAGGAGUUUGAGACCAGCCUGGCCAACGUGGCAA